rnacentral:ncRNA from 2 species
GAUUUAUACAGAAGUGGCGAGAGAUUAGGCUCACAGAUCCACUGGCAACCCUUAGCAUAAAAGAGAAGGUGCCAAUUCCUAGCCCAUUUGGGAGCUAUAAAUU